AUUGAACGCUGGCGGCAUGCUUUACACAUGCAAGUCGAACGGUAACAGACCGUAAGGUGCUGACGAGUGGCGAACGGGUGAGUAACGCAUCGGAACGUGCCCAGUCGUGGGGGAUAACGCAGCGAAAGCUGUGCUAAUACCGCAUACGAUCUAUGGAUGAAAGCGGGGGACCGUAAGGCCUCGCGCGAUUGGAGCGGCCGAUGUAAGAUGAGUUAGUGUGUGGGGUAAAGGGCCACCAAGCAAACGAUCUGUAGCUGGUCUGAGAGGACGACCAGCCGCACGGGGACUGAGACCGGGCCCAGACUCCUGCGGGAGGAAGCAGUGGGGAAUUUUGGACAGUGGGCGCAAGCCUGAUCCAGCAAUGCCGCGUGCAGGAAGAAGGCCUUCGGGUUGUAAACUGCUUUUGUACGGAACGAAACGGUCUGGGUUAAUACCCUGGGCUAAUGACGGUACCGUAAGAAUAAGCACCGGCUAACUACGUGCCAGCAGCCGCCGUAAUAC
rnacentral:rRNA from 1 species